CUCAAUUUCAUGUUGAGUACAAUAAAUUAAAUAAAUAAAAAGAUAUCUCCUCUUCCUUUUCACGGAUUGCCUUCUUCCUCCCAUUCAAAUUUUUUUUCCAAAUUAAUAACUGUGAAAUCAAUUACCCUUUUUACACCCUCUCUCCUCACGCUCCUGCCGUUCCUCCACUCUUCAGUCUGUUCCAAAAUGAAACCACCAAUCAGCCAUUAAUUCCAAUUAUUGGAGAAUCAAUUACCACAAUUACUCGGCCUUUCUACCCUAAUCUCCCACCGCCGCUCCCACAAUCUCUUCACAAACCUUAAACACUCCAACUGUGAGGAAUACGACAGAGAGCAGCGAAGAAGACGUACCAUUCAACACCUUCAUCUCCUUCAGACUCUAUAUUCCGAAACUGAGAGCGCAGGGAACCGAAGCCGAAAUCUCCUUAGUUCAAGCCAAUUCGUUCACAAUCUACGAAGGUGAUAUCUCGCAAGUGAAUCGUGAUCGCAAGGGAAAGAAUAUAUUAGUGGAUUAAGCACUUGAGUAUUCUACAGCCGCUGCAGUUCAGAAUAUUGGAAAAAAGAUAGUUCAUGUGUUUCAUUCGCCCAUGCUGGUAAUAACCUGUGCAACUGCUAAGGGCGGCUGGUAAAUUGAUAUGACUACAUAAAUACUAGUAAUUCUAUAAGCUAUGGGUAAGUGCUAGUACUUUUCUUGUAACUAAAGUAAUUCAGGAAAUUAUGCUUUCGUGUGUGCUGACAAGCUCUAUUUCCUCUGGUUUUGCUCGAGAACAAAUUAAAUUUGACUUGUUUCAUUCAAUUUGAGUAGGUUUAUCCUGAAUGAGUGCAGCAUAUGUAACUAGGUAGAUGAUCAAAUAUUCAGAUCGUUGGCAAACAACAACCUGCAGCAUGUAGCGUAUGUAUGAUUUGAUUUAAUUUGUGCUGCACUAAUAUGUGGUGUUUUAGCUCAAAGCAGUAGCACUUGUUAGUUGAAGAACAAGACCCCCACAACCACUCUUGUUUCCAUACUCUGAUUUUCCUUUACUAUAAAUGACAAACGUGAUUACCUCA